GACGAACGCUGGCGGCGUGCUUAACACAUGCAAGUCGAACGAUGAAGCCGGAGCUUGCUCUGGUGAAUUAGUGGCGAACGGGUGAGUAACACGUGAGUAACCUGCCCUUGACUCUGGGAUAACUGCGGGAAACUGUAGCUAAUACCGGAUACGACCCUCGGAGGCAUCUCCUGGGGGUGGAAAGAAUUUCGGUCAAGGAUGGACUCGCGGCCUAUCAGCUAGUUGGUGAGGUAAAGGCUCACCAAGGCGACGACGGGUAGCCGGCCCGAGAGGGUGACCGGCCACACUGGGACUGAGACACGGCCCAGACUCCUACGGGAGGCAGCAGUGGGGGAUAUUGCACAAUGGGCGCAAGCCUGAUGCAGCAACGCCGCGUGAGGGAUGACAGCCUUCGGGUUGUAAACCUCUUUUAGCAGGGAAGAAGCGAAAGUGACGGUACCUGCAGAAAAAGCACCGGCUAACUACGUGCCAGCAGCCGCGGUAA
rnacentral:rRNA from 1 species